GACUCCUCCUCCUCUUCCUUUAGGUCCAGCCUGCUCCGUUCAGUGUGUCAUCUCUAUGGUUUCUCAGCUCAGGAUCAUGAUCAGACUCCUCGUGCAUUUAGCAGCUCUGCGGUUCUGUUUAUCAGAACCCUCAAAGAACAGUGUUGCUCAGAGUCCCGGUGCUCUGAUCAAACACCCCGGAGAAGAAGUCCGGAUAGAUUGUAACCACUCGAACACGGAUUUCGAUAUGAUCCAGUGGUACAAACAGUCUGCCGGGGAGAGCGACAUGCUCCUGGUUGGCUACGUACGAUUCACCUCCACAGUCGUGGAAGCUCCGUUCAAGGACUCGUACAACGUGAGCGGUGACGGGGAAAGUCGCGCUUGUCUCCACAUCCCAAAGCCGGGUGUCCCGGAGGACGGGGCCGUGUACUUCUGCGCUGCCAGUAGAGCACAGUGCUGCACAGCUCCGAGUCUUUGACACAAAACACACACCAUAAACCACAGAAGGGGUGACUGAUGUAUCACACAGCUGGAGUCUUAUUUCAUGCUGCAGAGAGAGGAGUCGGUUUAGGUCUAUUUGUUUUUAAUCGCGUUGAUUGAUCGGUGAGUGAUCAAUUAAUCGGUUAAUCAGAGGAAGAUCACACCCGAUUCACACAAAUCACACGAUUUCAUCAAGACAUUGAAAAAUGUAUUAAACUUUCGAUAAAAUUACAGCUCAUUUCAGCUCAUUGUUAUUUCUCAUUCUAUAAAUCACUUUCUAUUUAUAUAUUUUUUUAAUCAAAACAUUUCAUCAGUGUAUUUUUAU